rnacentral:rRNA from 1 species
GACGAACGCUGGCGGCGUGCUUAACACAUGCAAGUCGAACGGAAAGGCCCUGCUUUUGUGGGGUGCUCGAGUGGCGAACGGGUGAGUAACACGUGAGUAACCUGCCCUUGACUUUGGGAUAACUUCAGGAAACUGGGGCUAAUACCGGAUAGGAGCUCCUGCUGCAUGGUGGGGGUUGGAAAGUUUCGGCGGUUGGGGAUGGACUCGCGGCUUAUCAGCUUGUUGGUGGGGUAGUGGCUUACCAAGGCUUUGACGGGUAGCCGGCCUGAGAGGGUGACCGGCCACAAUUGGGACUGGGUACGGCCCAGACUCCUACGGGAGGCAGCAGUGGGGAAUAUUGCACAAUGGGCGGAAGCCUGAUGCAGCAACGCCGCGUGCGGGAUGACGGCCUUCGGGUUGUAAACCGCUUUCGCCUGUGACGAAGCGUGAGUGACGGUAAUGGGUAAAGAAGCACCGGCUAACUACGUG